GAUAAACGCUGGCGGCGUGCCUAAUACAUGCAAGUCGAGCGAACAGACGAGGAGCUUGCUCCUCUGACGUUAGCGGCGGACGGGUGAGUAACACGUGGAUAACCUACCUAUAAGACUGGGAUAACUUCGGGAAACCGGAACUAAUACCGGAUAAUAUAUUGAACCGCAUGGUUCAAUAGUGAAAGACGGUUUUGCUGUCACUUAUAGAUGGAUCCGCGCCGCAUUAGCUAGUUGGUAAGGUAACGGCUUACCAAGGCGACGAUGCGUAGCCGACCUGAGAGGGUGAUCGGCCACACUGGACCUGUGACACGGUCCAGACUCCUACGGGAGGCAGCAGGAGGGAAUCUUCCGCAAUGGGCGAAAGCCUGACGGAGCAACGCCGCGUGAGUGAUGAAGGUCUUCGGAUCGUAAAACUCUGUUAUUAGGGAAGAACAAAUGUGUAAGUAACUAUGCACGUCUUGACGGUACCUAAGCAGAAAGCCACGGCUAACUACGUG
rnacentral:rRNA from 1 species